rnacentral:rRNA from 1 species
UACAGAGGUCCCAAGCGUUGUCCGGAUUUACUGGGCGUAAAGAGCGCGCAGGCGGUCGUUCAAGUCGCGUGUGAAAGCCCCCGGCUCAACUGGGGAGGGUCACGCGAUACUGAUCGACUGGAAGGCAGGAGAGGGUAGUGGAAUUCCCGGUGUAGUGGUGAAAUGCGUAGAUAUCGGGAGGAACACCAGUGGCGAAGGCGACUACCUGGCCUGUUCUUGACGCUGAGGCGCGAAAGCUAGGGGAGCAAACGGG